ensembl:lncRNA
GCUCUUUUGAAUUGACCCUUAAGUCUUUUUUUUACCUACCCCAUCAGGUUUUUUCAGCAUUUGCUUAAUUUUUUGUGUUUCAAGAUGUUCCAGGUUCAUUUUGCUUUUGUUUUGUGGAGGGCUCUUUCAUAAUCAGGCAUUUCUUCAAUAACUCUAAUUCCUUUGACUGAAGAAUUGUAUCAGAAACCAAGAUCUGUGCACUAUGUAUGUUUGCUACUUUGGGGAUAUUGUUUCUUCAAGACCUUCUCAUCCAAUAGAACAAAGAAAUAUAUGCAUAUAUAUUGAGUUUUAUAUAUAUAUGCACAUGGCUAUAAACAUUUCCAUAUGUAAUCAUCUUUAUUAGCUUUACCUGAGUUCAUGGCAUUGUCUUUAAGCCUUAGUUACCUGCAUAGCUUUCCAUGCUAACGGUGAGAACCAUGGUUCCACCUUCUGCCAUUUAUUUGUUGAAAUCCAAUCUAUAAACAUAUUAACAGUGUCUUAAGUGUUAUCCUGUAUACCCACGAGAAAAAAAUUACUAGAACCUGGUGCUUAUGUACAUGAUAGUAACAUUUUUAGAACUUUAACAACUCUUUGAAACAGAAUAGUCUACAAGACAUCUGUAUUCUCAAUUCUAUCCUAUCCCCCAAAAUACUGACAUGAAGCAAACCAUUAGUGAUUGACAUAACCUUGAAUAAGUCAAGGAAACUUGUUUAUCUUCCAUUGGAUAAAUGGGAAAGCAACUGCAUGGGCCUAGUUUAAAGAAACACUGUCUUUUUCUCUACUAAAUAUGGAUCUCUGACAACUGGGUGGUACUCUGAUUUGCCUCUCUUCUCUAUUUUCCCCAGUUUUUAGGCAAGUCACAUCACCUCUCUGUGCCUCUAUUAACCCAUCUAGAAAUGGGGAUCCACAUAUCUACCUCACAGGAGUGUUGUGAGGCUUCUUAUUAAUAGAUGUUUAAAAAAUGAUACGUGAUCUCUAAAUGAGCAAGAAAGUAUUAUAAUCAUUACUAUGAUUCUAAUUAGAGUACCCUGUAUUUAUCUUAUGGAAAGGAGAUUAGCCCUCAUCAGUAAACCAGUAAAUUUAAGUCAAUGAGAAAGAUCAAUGGAGAGUGGCCACUGGAAGCGAUACUGUUUGCUCUGUCACCCUCACUUUCCCUAAUCCUCUGACUAUAGGAUUAUCAACUGUUUCCAGAAACGUAUUAGGACCUAAAAUAAUAAGAGGCAAAACACAUAGUUUUGAAAUUAUAUUUUUCUCCCUUUCUUACUCUGCUUGGACUGCAUUACAUAUAACUUUGUCAGAAGCACAAAGACAAUUUCUCAAAGCUUUUCAGUCUUUGGUCAGUUCCGUUUCAUCAGUUAAAAAUUUCUCUUUCUGCGUGUACUGUACAUUGAACAGUAAAGGUAGGAGGGGAGUGGGGUGGGAUGGUUGGGCUGGGAGUGGACUGGAAGAGAAUGGAAAUUACAUAGGUGUUUUUCAAUCACUGGGUUAUCGCUUUCCAUUUCUUUUUUUCUGGUGGUGGGUUGGGGGCAAGGGAAGAGAUAACUAUUUUGUUAACAAAUUCUCCUUCCCUUCCAGUAGAUGUUUCCUAGGGUCAGUACAAAUAGUUGUGUUGGACGUUACUUUUAUAACUAUGUUGUAUACAGUGCUGUUUUCGUUGUAUUCCUGAAUGAAAAGGGAAGAUGGUCCCUAGUGAUGUUCAUCCCUGUUUUUGACAGGAGGUCACAGCAGGAGAGCAGUACCAGAAACUGACUUUUUGUGGUGGGGAAAGGAGCCUGCAGUGAAGGGAUUUAUUGGAGUUUUGUCAUUAUUUAAAGAAAUUAUAAAACAGUAUAUUAUGCAUUAGUCUCUAUAACUCUUCUGUUUGUGCCUCCUUGUUUUAGUGCUUUAGAGCAGCACCUCUCUUCACUCCAUUUUAUACUUGUUCCUGUUCAGAGGUGUGAUGUUGAGCACUCCUAUCCAAGUUUGUUGUGUACCUGAAGAUUCUCGAGAAUUGCCUCAGUAAGCAUGGCCACCCAUAGGUUCCUCUGUUGUAGCUCAGUGGGCACUCCCCGCUGCAGCUUCCAGGCAGGGUGUGUGCUUGAGUACUAAGCAAUCUUGUUCUGUCUGAUUACUGUACUUUUUUAAUAAUAAAAAUAUUUUAAACCAGA